AGGAAUCUGCCUGGUAGUGGGGGAUAACGUUCGGAAACGGACGCUAAUACCGCAUACGUCCCACGGGAGAAAGCAGGGGACCUUCGGGCCUUGCGCUAUCAGAUGAGCCUAGGUCGGAUUAGCUAGUUGGUGAGGUAAUGGUUCACCAAGGCGACGAUCCGUAACUGGUCUGAGAGGAUGAUCAGUCACACUGGAACUGAGACACGGUCCAGACUCCUACGGGAGGCAGCAGUGGGGAAUAUUGGACAAUGGGCGAAAGCCUGAUCCAGCCAUGCCGCGUGUGUGAAGAAGGUCUUCGGAUUGUAAAGCACUUUAAGUUGGGAGGAAGGGCAUUAACCUAAUACGUUAGUGUUUUGACGUUACCGACAGAAUAAGCACCGGCUAACUCUGUGCCAGCAGCCGCGGUAAUACAGA
rnacentral:rRNA from 1 species